UAAAAACAACAAUUUCCUACGCACCGUUGUGAGUGCGCCUUGGCGCUGCGGACAAAAUAUGCUCGAAGUUUAGUUCCUUUGACGAUAAAACAUCGGCUCUUCCCGUUAAGCUCGAGUCAUCUAAAAUACAUCAGGUGCUUUUGUUCUCCUUCUUCCUUAGCUCGUAAUGUCCUUAUAUUUUGCUCGUGUUCUAGUGUGGAGAUCUGCUAAGUAAUCCUCAAGCUCCCCUUUGCCAAGAUGAACAGUGCUGCAUUGACGUAUGAUCGCCGGCCGAUUAUAAGCAAAUAAAUAAGAAGUGGGGAGUAAAUGGCCGAUUUCGUGUGAAGUUUUAUUAUUCAAAUCAAACGGUCGACAAUAAAGAAUGGCAUUAAUUCAAUUAUGUUUUAAAUGAUUAGCAACUUGUCAUUAGAAAAUAUGCAAUUUGAUAAAUUUAUAGCUAGGGCAAUGUGAUGCACACAAUGAUCGAAAAUUUGUCGAGGAAACUUUAAGAUUUUGUUUGUGAUAGCUUUCUUACUGGUUUCUUAAGUUGCUUUCUCGUAU